AAGAUGGCGUUGAUUCGUGUUGUGUCAGGUGUUUAAAAUUUCUUAAAAUUAUAUCGAAGUGUGACAUUGGACUGUAGUCGUGACACUUCAGUUAGAUAUUUAAAUCGUUUUUAGUUUUGUGAAAGAUCGUCAAUUGGAAAAAACGUAAAGGCGUCUGUCAAGAGUCACGUGUAAUACUGCCCGAUAGUGGUAUUUUGCACUUAACCUUAGCCUUCACUCGGUAUUGUACGAUCGUCUUCAAAUCUCGUAAAAAUUAUUUGGAAAAAAACGUCGAUGGUGUAUUUUUUAUUAGAGAAGAAAUCAAAACUUUUCAUCAAUCGUUUUCCUGGCGAUACUAAUGACGAUCAUUUAUAUCGUAUGAUAAAAGAAAGGUUUAAAACGAAUCCGUAAAGUUAAAGUUCGAACUAUGCGCCUUUAAACCGUGUUUACGGAGUAUUAGAUCUUUUCUGAGUUGCCAAAAAUAUUUAGUUGGAUGCUGGUAAAAUUUACACCUGGCUGAAAUGCCCAGGAUAAAAACCAAACAAGCAAGUAGCCUUUGGUUAAGGCAACGCGAAUUGGGUGUACAGUUCUCUUUGGGACAUGCUGAUCACUUUCAUAAAACUCUUUAUUCCUCUAUACAACCGGUAACUUCUUGGGAUCAUGCGUUGUCUGCAGCUGCUGCCCAUGGUGGAGUUUUUAAUCUUGAAUAUUCCCCAGAUGGCUCUCUUUUGUUGGCGGCAUGCGAGAAGAAAAGUAUUUUAAUGUUUGAUCCUUUGAGGAGAAGCUUGAUCCAUGCGAUUGAUAAUGCUCAUAACGAUUGUGUUAAUUGUGUUAGGUUUUUGGACCAACGUAUGUUUGCAACAUGUUCAGAUGAUAGUACGGUAGCUCUUUGGGAUGCUAGAAACUUAAAGAAUAGAAUAAGAACUCUUCAAGGUCAUUCGAAUUGGGUGAAGAAUAUAGAGUAUAGUCCCAAAGAUAAUUUAUUACUGACCAGUGGUUUUGAUGGUAGUAUAUAUACUUGGGACAUUAAUAGUUUCACAGAAAAUAGUAUUCUUUAUACGCGUGUGUUCCAUACAAACGGACUGAUGCGAACUAGACUUAGUCCAGAUGCCAAUAAAAUGUUAAUAAGUACUACUUCUGGAUACCUCAUCAUUAUACACAACCUUAAAUUAAGCACUUUAACUCAGGACUUGGCAGGAUUUAGACCAAAUAUGUAUCGGUUAAUGCAAUCGUCUCAAACUACAAUACCAAACGUGGCAAGUUUCACGCAUCUCUUUUCCCAUUCUCGUGCACAUAACAGAGUAGAAUUUUUAACCGAUUUCCCUGUUGGCGAUGAUGCUGAGAUAAUAUCGAGUUUGCAAGUGCACCCUCAUGGAUGGUGUGCUUUGUCUAGGAAUGUCAGUAACGGAGAAAAGUCAGAGUGGACUUGUAUUCAUGACAUACAAGAGCGUGAUGUAUCCAGCACAGCGGAUCAGGCGAAAGAAGGAGAGGAGACAGCACCGCAGUUUAACGAAGUGCCCGUAGAAGAGUUCGAGGAUUUUCAACAACCUCAACCUUCUCGCUCGGGUAUAACAUCUUCCUUUUUAAUAGAAAGUCCAAACAACCGCGUGAGAGUAGUUCAUACUACAUCCGAUACGAGAUCGAACGCGGCUGGAUUUUCAGAUAACGCGCAAUCAGCUAGGUCCCCGAGAAAUAAUUGGCAGUCAGUGUCUCGUAGAGCGUCACGGUCGCAAUCGAGGAAUUCGCGUUUGGACAGAACUGCGACAAGAGCGAAUUUUGGCUCGAUCGAAGUUAGUUCUAGUUCAAGUUCGUCUGAUUCUCGUGUAAACACGGAUAGAGACAAUAGACAGGGGGAUAGGUACAUAUACGCCGCUGACAUUUAUGCGGCUGAUGAGAGCAUACUGGAAGAAGGUUCUGGUGAUCAAGAAAGAGAAUCAGGACAGGACUACAGGCCGAGAUCAAGUGUUCACCUUAACUACUUAAGACCACGCAAUAUAAUCGAAAAUUUUCCUACCGGUAAUAUAGAGUUACAUGUAAGUACGACUGACGUGUGGGAAGCACAUGUAGCAAUUAGGGAAGCUAGGCUUAGGAGAGAGAGGGAUUGGCUUUCUAGAUCGAGUAACAAUACUGUCGUUAUUAUCGGUGAUAGAAUUAGGGUUCAGAAUCGGAAUAGGCAAGGCCAGCAAACAAUGUACGCUAUUCCGAGAAACCGUAUGAUCCAUCAGAAUACUCCUAGAUUAACGCAUUACAUAGAGGAACCUAACGUUGGUUCCGGUUAUAUAAAAGAAUUAUGUUUCUCUGCCGAUGGUCGACUAAUAUGUUCACCGUUUGGUUACGGAGUACGUUUGCUAGGAUUUUCUGAAAAUUGUUCGGAAUUAUCUAACUGCGUACCUCCCUAUAACGAGUCUAUACAGUUGAACGAAAUAGCGAUAAACACUAGUCACUCUGGCAUUGUAGUCUGUACAAAAUUUUCUCCAAGGCAUUGUUUGCUUGUGUCAGGUUGUCUUAGUGGAAGAAUCGUUUGGCAUCAACCCGUAGUUUAAUAAAAUUAAUGUCAAUUUUUCAUUAUAGUCUGCCUAGAGAACGUCUUGAUGAGAUAUAUUACUUGCCUAUAUUUCCUUCUUUUUAUUUUUCACUUUUUGUUUUCUUUCUUUUUAACGAGGUGAAUAUCGGGAAAUACGAAGAUUUUUUUAAAUAUACAGUUUUUGAUAUAUUUUAUUUUUUAGCGUGUUUUGUUAUAGAUAUGAUUGAGGUUAGGAAACCCUUUGUUGACGAGAGGUAUUGGCGCGCGUAGUUGAGAAAAUAUACGCGUUGAACAUUUGCGUUACUCAUUGUUGAGGCUUGUAUUUUCUUUGAUAUUUAGUUCAUCAUCGCUGUCACUAUCACUAGUAAUAUCGAAACGUCUGAGCUGCUUUCUUGUUGAACGGAGUUCGUUUCCAUUGUCUAAAGUACUGUCGUCUAAAGUCGUCUUCUAUCCUGUCAGGUUUAAAAUAAUAUUCAUCAUUAUUACUAUCACUAUCGAACAUGUCCUUUCUGGAUCUUUUAGGUAUCGUAUAUAAGAUAUUAUAAAAAAUAUAUAAAAUAUAAAAAAAGCUAGUUGAUUCGUCUGGUAAUGCCAUUGAAAGACUGAAAUUCGUUUUGACUCGACGAUCAUCCUACAUCGCGAGUUUACGUUAAAUGGAAAAUAGGAUUCCCAAAGAUCUAUAAUUUUCUUUCAUCAAAAACAUAGUACUGUUUAGUCUACAAUACCCAUGCGUAAAUACGCAUAAGAUUAUCGCUCAGAAAAGUAGACGUAUGUCAGACACCUCAAAAUAAGUGUCCGGAAAUGUGAUCAAAUUCGGGCGUCUAUUUGCCGACACUCGUCCGCAAAGGGUUUUAAGCUAAUUAUUUGCACGUAGCGUUUUUUAUUCGAAACGCGAUAAACGUGGUCAAAUAUAAGUUAUUUUAUAUUGGAAUUAUCUCUCACUAGUGAUUUAAAAAGGAAACAGUCAUGACGUUAUUUUAAGUACCGUUCAAUGAAAUUAAUUAAUUCAUCUUGUAUGUUUAGAAAAGUGAUUACUGAAACAUAGUAUUUUUACUAACAGACGUAUAUUUCUAUUGAAAAAUUUUAAUAUCUCAAUAAGUCCACGGCAGAGUACUUUUCGUUUUAUAUCGCCAGGGAAAACGUAGGAGCAAGAAUGCAGAAAACAUUCCAUCAACUGAUCUGUAUAUUACACACUUUCAUAGAAUAUUGGCGAUUUCAUUGCCAUUUGCAACUGAAUAUACAUUUUGCAUUUGUACGUCUUGUUUGGCAAUAAUCGAAGGAAUGAUUGCGGUCUGCGAUCAAUUUCUGAAUCAUUGGCAAUAGUGAUCUAGGAUCUAAGGAGAGGAAAAGAGGUAAUAUGUACUAUAGAAUGAAAUUAUUAUGCAAGAAAAUCAACCUCGCUAAAAUACGUAAAUACAACGCUAAAUAUGUAACGUUGGCGUUACCGUUAGUAUUAAAUUAUUUAGCUGCGUAUUGCGUGGCUAUUAAUAAGUACCCGAAAUUUCAACUAAUCAUGAGAUGAUUAUUAAAAUUGGUGUCGCUGUUUACCGAGAGAAACGAGGCCUUCUCGCGACUGUCGUUGAAAGGAAAACCACGCCGUUAAUCAACACAACUUUAAUCCAUAAUGAACAGCUCGAUUAAUUUUCGAGUUGUGUAAAGAAGAAAAACAAAGAAACAGAAAUGGCGUUUCUCAUAGCUUCAAAGCAAACGCGAAUAUACGGAUUGUAGUAAUGAACAAAUAUUUGUAAUUUAUUUGAGCCAUGUCUUUGACUAUAUAUUCAUAUAUGAAGUUCAAGCGUAUUUAAAUCGAUUGUAGGAUCGAAAUGAAUAUCGCUUUUAUUGUAAACUCUGUGUUCCAUGGAGCAUCUUACGCGCGUACUGUUAAGUAGAAAAGAAAUCGUGUAACAUAUGUAAAUACAUUGUCAACUUAGGUAUGUAAUAAUAAUAUAAAUGUAAUAACCAAAUACGAUAUGGUUCAUGUUCGUAAGCGUCGUAUUACUUUUAAGGUUAGAGCGAAUCAAACUAAUGUUUGGAAGAAGCAGUCUGUAAAUGCUCGAAAUCGUGAAGUUUGUCAAUUUUGAAGCCGGAACCAAGACGUUCUUCUGUUCCGUCGACAUCACAACUGUCGAUUCAGUCAACACCGCAGCAAUCGUUGGCGCCUGAGGAGUACUUACACCAAACAUCUGCCCUGUUGAAUCUCUUGCAAGAGGCUAGACGAAUUGAGAGCAACAGCGGACGAGAUACUUUCAGCGCUUGAGGAGUCUGAAUUUCUCGAAUUUGACGAAACUCUAGACACAAUUAAAUUAUCGACGCGGAAUUACGAGAUUGAGAAAGGGAUGGUUUAUCAUAAUUUCUCGGAUCAUCACAGAUUACUCGCCGAUCAAUGUUGGUGUAGUUUUGUUCACUUCAAGCAGUUUGUUUUUGAUUAUCAAUUUCUUGGUUUCUAUGUUAUUGCGAAUCGGGACCUGAUCCGCGAGGCUUAUGUUAAGUUACGCGGUCCUGCGCCCUUUUCGUCGACAACGCGUUUCCCGGACGAUUUCUUUGUGUUCCUCGGAGGACCAUUGCGUUCGUAUUUUGAACAGCUGAUGUGCGCAAUAGAUUUACCUAAGCACGAUAUAUCCAACGAUGCGAAAAGGUCUUUCGACAUUGCGUUCAAGCAACUCGCCACGGUUGCGUUUGAGAUUAAUGUUACAAAACUUCGGAGUCGGGGAGUAUAUCACAGGGAGGCUUUUGAAAAGGUUUUCGGUUUGGAGUGGCGGGACGCAUAAUUAAGUUCUUUUGCUUUUCUUGUCUUUUCUUUUCUCUUUUGUUUUCCUUAUUAUUUCGUUUUAUUUUGUUAUUGUAGCUCAAUUUAGCUUUAGUUACUUAAGGGCGGGGUAAGGUUAAUUCGUACAAAAAAGGCAUGUUUUUGUGAAUUUUUUCUGGCGAUACAGUUAAAAUUUCUUUUUUAAAACCAAUAGUACAUUAAAGUAUGACAUUCGAAGAAUAUUGUAUAAAAUUUUCACGGAGAAAUAUUAAAAAAUACGGCACUUAUUAAUCCCGCGAUCGGUCCAUUCUUUACGAUAAUAUUCGUCUAUUGCCUCUAGGUUUCAUAUUUUUGUUUUGACGUUUUGUUUUGUUUUUACGUUUCUAUAACGUUCUUUUUUUGUUCCUAGAAUUUCUUCUUGAAUUGUUCUUCUUCAUAGAACAAAUUGAUCGUUUAAAACCGAGACUGCAUUUUCUUUUUUUGUAUCGCAUUCUACGUUGUAUCUUUUCUGUACCAAAGGAUUUAUCCCUUUUUCUGUUUAAAUAAAUGGAAUAAAUAAAUGGAAGACGUUGAUGGACAG